rnacentral:lncRNA from 10 species
GGUAUAUAGCAGGCUGUACCAGCUAGGUUUGUGUAACUGCACUGUAUGAUGUUUGCGUAAGGACAAAAUUGCCUAAUGAAACAUUUCUCAGUAUGUAUCCCCAUCAUUAAGUGAUAUAUGACUCUAUUUCAUUCCAUCUUCUUCUCGCUUGCAUAGUUUUUCAGGAGAAGUUAGAUGUAAUUUUUAUCUUGCUUCUCUAUGGUAACGUGUUUAUUUUCUCUGGUUUCUUUUGAGAUUUUUCCUUUAACUAUGAUUUUGUGAAGCUUGAAUGUGAUAUGCCUAGUUUUGGGGGAAGGGCAUUUAUCCUAUUUGUGUUCUCUGAGCUUCCUGGAGCUGUGAUUUGGUGUCUCACAUUAAUCUUGGGGAAAUUCUCAGUCAUUAUUGCUUCACAUAUUGCUUCUGUUCCUUUCUCUCUUUCUUCUUUUAUUCUCAUUAUGUGUAUGUUACACCUUUCGCAGCUAUCCCAUAGUUCUAGGAUAUUAUGUUCUGCUUUUCCCGCUCAGCUUUUAUUCUCUUUGUUUUUUAGUUUUGGAAGUUUUUAUUGUCAUGUUCUCCAGCUCUCAGAGAUUUUUUCCUCGGCCAUGAGUCUACCGAUGACUCCAUCAAAGGGAUUCUUCCUUUCUGUUACAAUGGUUUUAAAACUCUAGCAUUUAUUUUUGAUUAUUUCUUAGAAUUUCCAUCUUUCUGCUUUUGUUGCCCAUCCACUCUUGCAUGCCAUCUGCUUUUUCUGUUAAAUCCCUUAACAUAUUACUCAUAGCUUUUCAAAAUUCCUGGUUUGAUAAUUUCAGCAUUCCUGCCAUAUCUGACUCUGCUUGUGAUGCUUUUUUAGGCUCUUCAAACUAGUUUUUGUCUUUUAGUGUGCCUUGUCAUGUUUUUUGAAGGCUGGAAAUGAAAUCUGGCUAGAAGGAACUGCUGUAAAAAGACCUUUAGUGAUGCGGUGGUAGGUGCGGGGGAGGGAAAGCAUUCUACAGUCCUAUGAGUAGGUCUAGGUCUGUGGUGACUCUGCCCCCUUGAAUUGUGACCUUCACAAGUGCUCCCCCAUCCUGUGAGUGGAACAGGAUGGCUGUAGGGGGCUGAAAUUGUGUAUUUCCCUUCACCUGCAUGAAAGUCCAGAGCCACCUGGAGUAGGUAGGUCAGGCUCUGAUGUAACCCAGCCAGUUUGGCUCCUGAGGACAGGCAUUGUUAAGAACAGAAUGCCCUAUCUCAAGAUGUUUUCUUUUUUCUUCCCCCUGCUGAAGCACAAGGGGAUCUUUCUCCAAUAUCCACUGUGAGGACCUGGUCGAGCUCCUGGAGCUUGAGGAGACAACAAGGGUGCCAACAGGCAGCUGGUUGCUGGAGGGCGAUCACCACGGUGUUUCCCAGGAGAGUGAGACCAUGCACUCUUUGGCUUGGGAAGAAGGGUGCCAUUGUGAGCAACGCUGCCAUGACUCUGCGAAUGCCCAGGACAUUACUGUACUAGCCAAGAGCUAUCACUUGACUCGUGGUCAUGGCGUUGUGGAGAGCUGCCUGGCAUUGCAGCCUGUGAAACUGUGGAGAUGGAGGGAAAUGAGAUGAUGUAGCUCCAGGUUCCCAGACGACAACCUGCCAUGACAGGAAGGGGCUCUCCUUCCCAAGCAACAGUGCUGCCUGCCCAGGCCAGAGCACGAAGGAGCUUGUGGGUCAACAGGGGCCUCUAUUUGAAUAUAUCAAUCUUCUGUUAAGAUCUUCUUCAGUCACUUGGAUGUCCCUUCUCCCUUCAUCCAUUCAGCAAACUCUUGGCUCCAAUCAACUAGGCAGCCAGCCCCGGGCCUUGCUGGGGCUGGUCAGGGGGUGGGAAGGGGUCAUUCCAGAAAGGCCUGGGCAGCAACAUUGUUUUCUCCCACAAAGGACGGUGCCAUCCGCCACCAAGCCACUCACGAGGCUGACUCCAGUGACCGAUGGCCACAGGCAGAAAAGGAGGCUUGUGUUCUAAAGGAAUGUGAGGAAGAGACAAAAAGCUUCUGUUGUAGCAAAUGAGUGUUUUUCAUUUGACGACUUCAGAAGAUCCCACGUCUUACAGCCCGUCCCUUCCUGUAGGACGCUGUGGGCCAGGACAGCACAGUACUCGGCCACAUGCCCAAAUGAGCAGCCACAAAAGUCUAAUCAAUCGAUUGUUCAAACUGCUUAACUCACAUCUGUAAUCCCAGCACUUUGGAAGGCUGAGGCGGGCGGAUCACUUGAGGUCAGGAGUUUGAGACCAGCCUGGGCAACAUUGUGAAACCCUGUCUCUACUAAAAAUACAAAAAUUAGCCAGGUGUGGUGGCGCAUGCUUGUAGUCCCAGCUACUUGGGAGGCUGAGGCAGGAGGAUCCCUUGAACUCGGGAUAUGGAGGUUGCAGUGAGCAGAGAUCCUGCUACUGCACUCCAGCCUGGGUCACAGAGAUUCUGUCUCAAAAAAACAAAGAAAAACAAACAAACAAACUCUACUUAACAAGUGAGGAUGCUCACGCCUUGACUGUAAAAAUGCCUGCGUGGAAUUGAACCACCUCGACAGCAACGACCCAGGAGGUGGAAAUGAGUUGUUUUAUUUUAGAGAUUUAAAUAAAGAACAUACCAAACGUAUGAGAGAAGAGGA